UACGAGGGGGGCAAGCGUUGUUCGGAAUUAUUGGGCGUAAAGAGCUCGUAGGCGGUUUGUCGCGUCUGCUGUGAAAACUGGGGGCUCAACCCCCAGCCUGCAGUGGGUACGGGCAGACUAGAGUGCGGUAGGGGAGAUUGGAAUUCCUGGUGUAGCGGUGGAAUGCGCAGAUAUCAGGAGGAACACCGAUGGCGAAGGCAGAUCUCUGGGCCGUAACUGACGCUGAGGAGCGAAAGCAUGGGGAGCGAACAGG
rnacentral:rRNA from 1 species